rnacentral:tRNA from 1 species
UCCCUGGUGGCUCAGAUGGUAAAGCGUCUGUCUACAAUGCAGGAGACCCGGGUUCGACCCCUGGGUUGGGAA